rnacentral:rRNA from 1 species
GACGAACGCUGGCGGCGUGCCUAAUACAUGCAAGUAGAACGCUGAAGGAGGAGCUUGCUUCUCUGGAUGAGUUGCGAAGGGGGGAGUAACGCGUAGGUAACCUGCCUGGUAGCGGGGGAUAACUAUUGGAAACGAUAGCUAAUACCGCAUAAGAGUAGAUGUUGCAUGACAUUUGCUUAAAAGGUGCAAUUGCAUCACUACCAGAUGGACCUGCGGUGUAUUAGCUAGUUGGUGGGGUAACGGCUCACCAAGGCGACGAUACAUAGCCGACCUGAGAGGGUGAUCCGCCACACUGGGACUGAGACACGGCCCAGGCUCCUACGGGAGGCAGCAGUAGGGAAGCUUCGGCAAUGGACGGAAGUCUGACCGAGCAACGACGCGUGAGUGAAGAAGGUUUUUGGAUCGUAAAGCUCCGUUGUAAGAGAAGAACGAGUGUGAGAGUGGAAAGUUCACACUGUGACGGUAUCUUACCAGAAAGCGACGGCUAACUACGUG